rnacentral:rRNA from 1 species
AAUAUUGCGCAAUGGAGGGAACUCUGACGCAGCGACGCCGCGUGAGCGAUGAAGGUUUUCGGAUCGUACAGCUCUGUCCUUGGGGCCGAAGGUCUUCGGACUUGACGGUCCCUAAGUAGGUAGUCCCGGCUAACUACGUGCCAGCAGACGCGGUAAUACGUAGGGGGCAAGCGUUGUCCGGAAUUAUUGUGCGUAAAGGGUGCGUAGGCGGCCUUUUAAGUCAGGUGUGAAAGCCCACGGCUUAAACGUGGGAUUGCAUUUGAAACUGGAAGGCUUGAGUAUCGGAGAGGGUAGUGGAAUUCCCAGUGUAGCGGUGGAAUGCGUAGAUAUUGGGAGGAACACCAGUGGCGAAGGCGACUACCUGGACGAAAACUGACGCUGAGGCACGAAAGCUAGGGGAGCAAAC